rnacentral:rRNA from 1 species
AUUGAACGCUGGCGGCAGGCUUAACACAUGCAAGUCGAACGAGUGGCGGACGGGUGAGUAAUGCUUGGGAAUCUAGCUUAUGGAGGGGGAUAACUACGGGAAACUGUAGCUAAUACCGCGUACCAUAGGAUGAGCCCAAGUGGGAUUAGGUAGUUGGGGAGGUAAAGGCUCACCAAGCCGACGAUCUCUAGCUGGUCUGAGAGGAUGACCAGCCAAACUGGGACUGGUGCCCGGCCAAGACUCCUACGGUAGGCAGCAGUGGGGAAUAUUGCGCAAUGGGGGCAACCUGACGCAGCCAGGCCGCGUGAAUGAAGAAGGCCUUGGGGUUGUAAAGUUCUUUCGGUAGCGAGGCGUUAACUACAGAAGAAGCACCGGCUAACUCCGUGCCAGCCGCCGCGGUAAUAC